rnacentral:rRNA from 1 species
UACAGAGGUGGCAAGCGUUGUUCGGAAUUACUGGGCGUAAAGGGCGCGUAGGCGGUUCGUUAAGUCCUGUGUGAAAUCCCCCGGCUCAACUGGGGAACUGCACAGGAAACUAGCGGGCUUGAGUUCGGGAGAGGGAAGCGGAAUUCCGGGUGUAGCGGUGAAAUGCGUAGAUAUCCGGAGGAACCCCAGAGGCGAAGGCGGCAGCCUGGUUGGCUCCUGACGCUCGGACACGACAGCAUGGGGAGCGAACGGG